GUAGAGGGGGGUAGAAUUUCAGGUGUAGCGGUGAAAUGCGUAGAGAUCUGAAGGAAUACCAGUGGCGAAGGCGGCCCCCUGGACAGAUACUGACACUCAGAUGCGAAAGCGUGGGGAGCAAACAGGAUUAGAUACCCUGGUAGUCCACGCCGUAAACGAUGUCUACUUGGAGGUUGUGGCCUUGAGCCGUGGCUUUCGGAGCUAACGCGUUAAGUAGACCGCCUGGGGAGUACGGUCGCAAGAUUAAAACUCAAAUGAAUUGACGGGGGCCCGCACAAGCGGUGGAGCAUGUGGUUUAAUUCGAUGCAACGCGAAGAACCUUACCUACUCUUGACAUCCAGAGAAGCCAGCGGAGACGCAGGUGUGCCUUCGGGAGCUCUGAGACAGGUGCUGCAUGGCUGUCGUCAGCUCGUGUUGUGAAAUGUUGGGUUAAGUCCCGCAACGAGCGCAACCCUUAUCCUUGUUUGCCAGCGAGUAAUGUCGGGAACUCCAGGGAGACUGCCGGUGAUAAACCGGAGGAAGGUGGGGACGACGUCAAGUCAUCAUGGCCCUUACGAGUAGGGCUACACACGUGCUACAAUGGCGCAUACAGAGGGCGGCAAACUUGCGAAAGUGAGCGAAUCCCAAAAAGUGCGUCGUAGUCCGGAUUGGAGUCUGCAACUCGACUCCAUGAAGUCGGAAUCGCUAGUAAUCGUAGAUCAGAAUGCUACGGUGAAUACGUUCCCGGGCCUUGUACACACCGCCCGUCACACCAUGGGAGUGGGCUGCAAAAGAAGUGGGUAGUUUAACCUUCGGGAGGACACUCACCACUUUGUGGUUCAUGACUGGGGUGAAGUCGUAACAAGGUAGCC
rnacentral:rRNA from 1 species